GACGAACGCUGGCGGCGUGCUUAACACAUGCAAGUCGAACGGAAAGGCCCUGCUUUUGUGGGGUGCUCGAGUGGCGAACGGGUGAGUAACACGUGAGUAACCUGCCCUUGACUUUGGGAUAACUUCAGGAAACUGGGGCUAAUACCGGAUAGGAGCUCCUGCUGCAUGGUGGGGGUUGGAAAGUUUCGGCGGUUGGGGAUGGACUCGCGGCUUAUCAGCUUGUUGGUGGGGUAGUGGCUUACCAAGGCUUUGACGGGUAGCCGGCCUGAGAGGGUGACCGGGCACAUUGGGACUGAGAUAGGGCCCAGACUCCUACGGGAGGCAGCAGUGGGGAAUAUUGCACAAUGGGCGGAAGCCUGAUGCAGCAGCGCCGCGUGCGGGAUGACGGCCUUCGGGUUGUAAACCGCUUUCGCCUGUGACGAAGCGUGAGUGACGGUAAUGGGUAAAGAAGCACCGGCUAACUACGUG
rnacentral:rRNA from 1 species